UAAUGUCACGUGACUAAGGUGAAUCUGCGCACGUGCACAGCUGUUUAAAAUUUGUGGAAAUACUGUGUCACUUCUCGUCACUCAGGAAAUUGAAGGAAAACUACAGGAACCCAAAUCAGACGCGUGGCUCGCUAAUUGAUGGCCCACCUCCCAAAACCCCAAGUGCGAGGUGCUUGACACUCGAAAAUGACCGCUGGUGUGAACUGCAGGGGAGCAUAGAGGAGUGAAAAGAAGUGAGGAAACAGAGAUGGAUUUCUGAAUCCUUAUAAUUAGUCUUCUUGAGUGCAUGACUUGGUGAAGAUCUGAGUCCACAGCAUGAAAAGGCAGAAGGAGGAGAGAAGCUGAAAAGGUGUCGCUCCUAGUCGUCUGGGAACCUCAGCACUGAGAUUUACCCACAACCCUUCACCCUGCUGCGCCGCUCACCAGGAUACAAACAACCUUUGUGGGUUCCCUCUCCAAUGAGGUCCAAUUUAGACAAACUGAGGGUUUUGUGUUUUUGGGAUCUGGGCUGCUUCCGUUUCAUUCUCUGGCGUUAAUUUUACAAUACACAGGAACAAACCAGGAAUCAGCGUGUCAUUGUGUGUUUUUGAUUUCAAUACAAAAAGCUUUCCUUUCUUUCACAGGGAUUUUUUACUAAGCUGCAUUAAUAAUUAAACUUAAAUAAUUUGUAUUUUUUUAAAUAAAUGAAAAUCAGUCUUUUUAAUGAGUGGAACAGUUUAAAAAAUGUUCAGAUUUUAUUAUUAUUAUUUUUUGAAUGUGCUAAAUGGGAAAUUCACUUCAGAGCUUCAGGGAGAGGAGCGAAACAGCAAGAGCCUUUCAGGGAUUGUCUUUAGAGCAGCUGAUUUUAUUUUUAAUUAAUGAAGUAGUGAACUCCAUGUUCACCAAAGUAGGUGAUAUUCACUCAACAUGCCAACUUUAAUUAUAAUAAUAAUAAUAAUAAUAAUAGUAAUAAUAGUAAUAUUAUAAUACAUUUAUUUAUAUAGAAACUUUGGAAAACAGAUGUCCCAAUGGCUUUACAAAGAAAAACAAAUGGAUAAUUCAAAAAGAACCGACAAGAAUAGAAAGAAUCUAAGAAAGCAGGAAUAUUCCUCUCAACACUGGCUGCAUAAAAGAUCAAAUAGAAGAGUUUGUUCUCUAACUUCUCCUCAAAAACAAAAUCAAACACCUAUAAAGUGUUUGUGCUCUACUCUUUUCUGUUUCUUUGUGUUUUUUGUCAUGUAAUCAAACAUGUUCGGCUCUUGUCAUUUAUGUUUUUCUCCCAUUUCUCAUAAUCAUAAAAUAUAUUUAUUAUUAAAUAUUUUUGAAUCUCCUUUUACCUCUUCACAUUUUUUUCUGAAGCAGCAGUUUGCACUAGGAGCUUUCUCAGACACAUUUUUCUGCUUCAACACAAAGGCAUUGAUAUUUUGAAUUAAAAAACAGUAGACCCGCUGAAAUGUUUUUUAUUGAGAGGUUCCCUUUUGAAACGGAGACAGUAUUUUCACUAAAAGGAACUUAAAUCUUCCCAGCGUCUUCUAUUGUUUGCAUGUCUGUCCUCUGCUGCUUUAUGUAGUGUUAAAAACCCUCUGAUUGGCUGAUAUUUCCUGAUCCUGAUUUAUUGACCGGACUCUAGAUCAUUCGUAGUAAUACAUGUAAUCAGAAAACGUUGUUGUAGUAAAUUCCUGUUUGAUGUAUUUCAGAGAUCUGAAA